rnacentral:lncRNA from 1 species
UUAAUUACAGUACAGGGCAGGCAACAAAUGAGUAGUGUGAAUGGUAUUUAUAAAAAAACCAUGUAGGUAGCCUAUACAGCAUUCCAGAUUAUUUUUCACACGUCUUAGAAUUAUGGAAACAGUAUGUAGUGCUUUCAGUUGCCCUCUAAUAUCAUUAUAGCUCCGCCUGCCCAUCAGCAUAACUCCAAGGACCAAGAUUCAAACAUCGGACUGGGGUGGUGCCAAUUAGUAAAUACAAGUGUUUGGAAUUUAGUAAGUUUCGAAUAUUUGCUAGAUAGACGCCCAAUGCAACAAUGAGACGUCCCCCAAUUGUUUUUAAUCCGGAUGCGAACGUCGAAGAAACGCUGUACUUAAAAUUCCAUGAUGCAACUGAAAUCAUUUUGUGGCCGCUCGCGAUGGAAGAAUGGAUUCGAUUCUCAGUCUGUUUUUGGCAUUCUUUCAGAGAAACAGGAGCUGAUCCGUUAAGCCAAGCAACUGUUAGGCGAAAUCGGGAUGACGGCACAGAAACGAUAGAAACUAAGCUUCCCCAUCCUUCAAAAGCGGCAUUAAUGGGGCCAUCUUCAACUACUUCUUUCUUCGUAACGAACGAAAUUGACGUUAGUGCCCAAAAACAGAGUUGUUGCGAGCUAUUGGCAAUACCAACGCAAUUUGCCUAUUGCGUUGGUAAAAAUUGUCGAAAUCUUGAAACCAAUUAAACUCGAUAUUUAAAAUCAAUUUAAUUUAGCUAUCUGCAGCAAAGCGAUGUCGUCCAACUUAGUUACAGGGUCGAAAGUGCUGUAGCGGUAAAUCUUGAAAAAAUUUACCGAAACUUGGUCUGCGUCCGGCUGAAGCAACGACACCUGAGCAGCGAUGACACUUAACUGACUCGGUUCGUAAUUUUCGAAUAUUAUUCAAUAAGGGCAUUGUUAAUACCAAAUUGUUAAUACCAAACAUUCAUUUGUUUAUAAUUGAGUUUCUCGACAAUGCAAGUGGCCGUUGUGACAAUCCAGUCAUUAUUAUAAAUCCAUCCACCGCAUGUUCAUUCACCACUAUCGAAACCAAAAAAGGCUGUUCUCCGGCAAGCUUAUUGAACCAAGGGUAAUAGGGAGACAUUCGGGUGUAAAUGGUUGGUUGAAAAUUGUUUCCACAACUGGCAUUCUUGGACAUGAUUCCAACCACUCCCACUGUUCCACUGAUGUUUUUGUUUUGCACCAAAGGCGAACCUUCGUCGCAAUGGCAGGGGCUUCCAGUAUCUAGUGACUCCUCUAGCGAAGAUCAUGUAAGCUGAGUAAAACUGAUCCGCGCCGUAAUCUCUGCAGUCUGUUCCGAAUGAAACUUGAAUGGAACGCAGCCCGGCAAUCACUAAACCACCUUCCUUUAUAAAAGUGACUCAUCGUCCAAUGAAGGUGCCAUUGUCGGAAAGAGCUUCUUUCGCCUCACUGUGCGGGAUAAAGUUGACGUUGGUGCUAAAUUCGAUAGGUGGAGACGUCUAAGGAAAGCGCCAAUCAAUUGAACUUUUAGAUUAUGCCACAAGCAAUUUGAUGUCAGCCUUUACGUAUGUUUCGCGAGAUAGUAGCGAUGAUAACGAUGAUAACGAUCAGGCUGACUGCAUCUAGCGGGGAACUCGUGCGUCACGACUCACGCGAGGUCACUUUUUACAAGGAGAGAUUGGAUAAAACUGGUUGCAAUCCAGCCGUAGUGGAUAUCCAAUUGUAGUAAGGUGACAGCCGUGUGAAAAUGGUCGGUUCAAUCGUUCCAGCUGCGUCGCAGCCCUUAUUCCUCGACAUGACUCCAACAACAAAUCCAUUCUGCAUCAAAGGCGAUCCUUCGUCAUAGUAACAUGGACUUGCAUGGUCUAGUUCAUCUAUGGUGCAGUCUUUAUCCUUGACCAGGCAAUAUCAUGGCUGUGACGCUGAGCCAGAACUGAUAGCGCCUAGCAACAUGGGUCAUCUUCCGAGCCUGCAGGGGAAACUGGACGUAAUCUUUUAACGAUCAAGAUCAACUGGUUUGGAAAUUCUCCAAAAACUCCAGUCCAGUUCGUCCGGCGGGAAUUGCGUAACGUCGAGAGAUAGAAAAAAAAGCCAAGGCGUUAAAACGGCCGUACGACGCCCCCUCGUUCGGAUGCGUCGUCAUUGUAACAUGAGAAUCGAUUGGCUGGAAAAUGUCGGCGUCGACUGCGGUUAUUUGUUUACAGUAUACACAUCGGUGACAGGGCAGCAUUGAUUGAAUGACCCGAGCCGGAACCAAACGCCAGAUGAUGUAUAUUCAUGUCAAAACUACUCAUCGUGUUCAAAGAGAAUUUCAAGAGAGUUCAUUCGAUAAAUCGAUUGGGCGUGAGUGCCCCAGGCGGCAUCUUCUGUAUAACCUCAACAAGGAUCGCGGACACAAAAGGUCCGGAAUCGAUAGCGAUGGAUCGGUGCGCCGUACGAGGAAAUGACACGAGUCGACCAGGAAACCUCAAAAUCUAUCCAUCGCACCUUCGUAUUUGUAAAAUGAGGAGCAAUGUCAUUUCAUCUAGUGAAAAUAUAGACGGACGUUAAUUCCAGUUAUUUUCUACCCUC